AAAUUGAAGAGUUUGAUCAUGGCUCAGAUUGAACGCUGGCGGCAGGCCUAACACAUGCAAGUCGAACGGUAACAGGAAACAGCUUGCUGUUUCGCUGACGAGUGGCGGACGGGUGAGUAAUGUCUGGGAAACUGCCUGAUGGAGGGGGAUAACUACUGGAAACGGUAGCUAAUACCGCAUAACGUC
rnacentral:rRNA from 1 species